rnacentral:rRNA from 1 species
UGCGUAGGUGGUUUCUUAAGUCAGAGGUGAAAGGCUACGGCUCAACCGUAGUAAGCCUUUGAAACUGGGAAACUUGAGUGCAGGAGAGGAGAGUGGAAUUCCUAGUGUAGCGGUGAAAUGCGUAGAUAUUAGGAGGAACACCAGUGGCGAAGGCGGCUUACUGGACGAUGACUGACGCUGAGGCUCGAAAGCGUGGGGAGCAAACA